GCGCAGCAAUGGAUUAAAAUAAAACACAUUAGUGCUUAAAAACGUAAAUAACCCAUUAGUGCUUAAAACCCUUUUCAAUCUCAAAUUAAAGCCUUAUUCUGCAGCAGCAACAGCUGCAAGAAUUAUUUCAUCUUCUCCCCAGUUCUUCACGCCAAAACCCCCUCCCCUCUAACUUCGAUUUGGACAAAAUGAAGCAAACGAUGUCGACGGCGCGCCUCUGCUGGUGCGUGGAGGACGUGCGUAGCGUUCGUGCGGGGCUACCAUGCGUGCGAGCAAGGACGUGGGGGCAAUGGGCAGUUGCUACGGCAUUGAGAAAGGGAAAACAAAAACUGCUGCUAGGGUCUUAGGGUUUUUCUCUUGGGCUAUACUGUAGUUGGGCUUGGGUUUAAGUUAAUGGGAUUGUAGUUUGGGUUAUUUGGGUUAAAUGUAUUUAGUUUUAGUAUUUGAUUUGGGCUGUGUAAAUGGUUUUGGGCCCCGGGCAAUAAUUGGGUAUUAGACAGUAGAACAUAAAAUAAAAAUAAAAAUAAUUUUUUCUGACUUCA